AGUGCAAGCCCUUCAAUCCCCAGAAGAGGCACCAGGAACUGCAUGAGAUGCUGUCUCCAUGGAGAGCAGGGCAGCAGGUUCACCUCCUGUCUCCCUGGAAGUGCGCCUGGCUUCACUUUCCUCUCGUAAGUACUUGCAUAGCAUUGUUAGAUAAAUGUUAUGUGUGUGUGUGCGUGCGCAUUUAAACAUACACACAUGUAUGUGAUUUUACUGUAUAUGAAGUUAAUUUAUCACAUACAUGUAUUUCAGACCAUCCGCAACUUGUCAACGUUUCUUCACCACGUACGAGUGUGGUUUCCCUCCAACAGCCGGCCACUGGUGUCCAGGAACAGGGAUCCACUGCUGAGCAUAAGUAAAAAAAUGCUUUAACUGUACACAUUUUCUUUGCAGGCAUACUAGUGUAUGUAACAGGCAGGGCCAGGUCGACCGCUAAGCAUACUAAGCGUCUGCCUAGCACGCACUGGCCAGGAGGCUAAAUGUCUAGGUGACCAGCAGGGGUGGGGGGGAGCUCACAUCGCUCCUCUCCUUCUGUUCACUUUAUGUACUGUGGCUGAGUGGACCACGUGUGAUCUUAUCUACCAUCUACUUGGCCUGACAGGAAGUUGAGUGCAACGAUCAGCUUCCUGUCAUGCAGAAGAAACAGGAGAUUCUCUACCUGGGGACGCUCGUCCACGAUACAUGUAGGGAGAUUAGAAGGAAAGGGAGGUGGGCACAAAGACAUGCAAAGAGACAGAGAUGCAUAACUAUACUUAGACAUAAUAAUAAAUUAAUAGCAUGACUGCAUAUAUCUUAUUUCCAAGUUUAAAUAAUAUUGUUGUACACAUAAUAGUAAGCAUUGCAACAUAUGACACAUGCUAACAAUGUUCUUUCUCUGUUCUCCCCUAUAGGUUCUGAUGGUACUCUCCCCCUGCAAGAGGAGGGUACCAUUACCCUAACAGCAGUGGAUCCUGAUUCAGAGACAUCAGUGGCCGAAGAAAUGCAGUUGCCACAACUUCCUCCACCAAUGGCUGCGCUGUAUGCGACGAUCCAGGCUCGUCAAGCUGAACUUUAGACGUCCAUACAGCAGGAUAGGGAGAAUCAGCGAGAACUAUUGCAGAAUGUAAUAACCGAGUUACGCUCCAUGUCGAAC